rnacentral:tRNA from 1 species
AGGGGCGUAGCUCAGUUGGUAGAGCGGCGGAUUCCAAAUCCGUAGGUCCAGGGUUCGAGUCCUUGUGCCCCUGCCA